GAUGAACGCUGGCGGCGUGCCUAAUACAUGCAAGUCGAGCGAACGGACGAGAAGCUUGCUUCUCUGAUGUUAGCGGCGGACGGGUGAGUAACACGUGGAUAACCUACCUAUAAGACUGGGAUAACUUCGGGAAACCGUAGCUAAUACCGGAUAAUAUUUUGAACCGCAUGGUUCAAAAGUGAAAGACGGUCUUGCUGUCACUUAUAGAUGGAUCCGCGCUGCAUUAGCUAGUUGGUAAGGUAACGGCUUACCAAGGCAACGAUGCAUAGCCGACCUGAGAGGGUGAUCGGCCACACUGGAACUGAGACACGGUCCAGACUCCUACGGGAGGCAGCAGUAGGGAAUCUUCCGCAAUGGGCGAAAGCCUGACGGAGCAACGCCGCGUGAGUGAUGGAGGUCUUCGGAUCGUAAAACUCUGUUAUUAGGGAAGAACAUAUGUGUAAGUAACUGUGCACAUCUUGACGGUACCUAAUCAGAAAGCCACGGCUAACUACGUG
rnacentral:rRNA from 1 species